rnacentral:rRNA from 1 species
CACUUGCAUUGCCUUAGUACGGCGAGUGAGCGGCAAAAGCUCAAAUUUGAAAUCUGGCGCCUUCGGUGUCCGAGUUGUAAUUUGAAGAAGGUAACUUUGGAGUUGGCUCUUGUCUAUGUUCCUUGGAACAGGACGUCACAGAGGGUGAGAAUCCCGUGCGAUGAGAUGCCCAAUUCUAUGUAAAGUGCUUUCGAAGAGUCGAGUUGUUUGGGAAUGCAGCUCUAAGUGGGUGGUAAAUUCCAUCUAAAGCUAAAUAUUGGCGAGAGACCGAUAGCGAACAAGUACAGUGAUGGAAAGAUGAAAAGAACUUUGAAAAGAGAGUGAAAAAGUACGUGAAAUUGUUGAAAGGGAAGGGCUUGAGAUCAGACUUGGUAUUUUGCGAUCCUUUCCUUCUUGGUUGGGUUCUCCGCAGCUUACUGGGCCAGCAUCGGUUUGGAUGGUAGGAUAAUGAUUAAGGAAUGUGGCUCUACUUCGGUGGAGUGUUAUAGCCUUGGUUGAUACUGCCUGUCUAGACCGAGGACUGCGUCUUUGACUAGGAUGCUGGCAUAAUGAUCUUAAGCCACCCGUCUUGA